GGGCCCGCACAAGCGGUGGAGCAUGUGGUUUAAUUCGAUGAUACGCGAGGAACCUUACCAGGACUUAAAUGUAAGUUGCAUGAUUCAGAAAUGAAUCUUUCUUCGGACUACUUACAAGGUGCUGCAUGGUUGUCGUCAGCUCGUGCCGUGAGGUGUCAGGUUAAGUCCUAUAACGAGCGCAACCCCUAUCGUUAGUUACCAGCAAGUAAUGUUGGGUACUCUAGCGAGACUGCCGGUGCAAACCGUGAGGAAGGUGGGGAUGACGUCAAGUCAGCAUGCCCCUUACACCCUGGGCUACACACGUGCUACAUUGGACGAGACAAUGAGAUGCAAACCUGCAAAGGCUAGCG
rnacentral:rRNA from 1 species